GUAUAAUCACUCACAUCACCACUAACCACACCCAUCUCUCUCCAAAUAAUUCCAAAGCCAAAACCCAAAAAGCAACAAAAAAUUCUAUAUUCAUCCCUUCCAACACCAUAUAGACAAGCACUAAUCACCAUAAACAAAAGAAAAGAAAGUUCAGUCUAGUUUCUUUUCCUGCUUUGCGGCUUCUCGCCGUUUUGUGAGAAAAGAAAGAAAUAAUGGUGUCUCGGAAACAUGCAGAUGAAGCAGUAGCUAGUAGCGGUUUCAAUGAGACAAAUCAACAAGAAGGAGAGAAAGAACAAAAUAGUUCAUUCAGUGUCAAAGAUUUACUUUGGGAUGGUGGUUCUGUUUAUGAUGCAUGGUUCACAUGUACUUCAAAUCAAGUGGCUCAAGUGUUGUUGACAUUGCCAUAUUCAUUCUCUCAACUUGGGAUGCUAUCUGGGAUCUUGCUUCAAAUAUUUUAUGGAAUUCUUGGAAGCUGGACUGCUUAUCUUAUCAGUGUUCUCUAUAUGGAGUAUCGAACAAGAAAAGAAAAGGAAAAUGUUAAAUUCAAGAACCAUGUCAUUCAAUGGUUUGAAAUUCUUGAUGGAUUGCUGGGUCCAUUUUGGAAAGCAUUGGGGCUAGCUUUCAAUUGCACUUACCUUGUAUUUGGAUCUGUGAUUCAGCUUAUAGCUUGUGCAAGCAACAUCUACUACGUAAGUGACAACUUGGACAAAAGAACUUGGACUUAUAUAUUUGGAGCAUGUUGUGCAACAACUGUGUUCAUACCAUCCUUCCAAAAUUAUCGUAUUUGGUCUUUUCUUGGAGUUGGAAUGACAACUUACACUGCUUGGUAUCUCACUAUAGCAGCUAUGGUUCAUGGACAGGUAGAAAAUGUGACACAUACUGGUCCAAAAAAACUAGUGCUAUACUUCACUGGAGCAACCAAUAUACUAUACACAUUUGGUGGACAUGCUGUUACAGUAGAGACUAUGCACGCGAUGUGGAAACCACAAAAGUUCAAGCACAUAUAUUUGCUUGCAACUUUAUAUGUGUUCACAUUAACGAUUCCUUCUGCUUCAGUUGUUUAUUGGGCGUUUGGUGAUCAACUUCUUAAUCAUUCCAACGCUUUCUCUCUUCUCCCCAAAACUCGUUUUCGUGAUGCUGCUGUUAUCCUUAUGCUCAUUCACCAGUUCAUCACAUUUGGUUUUGUUUGUACUCCAUUGUACUUUAUAUGGGAGAAAGUAAUUGGAAUGCAUGACACAAGAAGCAUUUGUUUAAGGGCACUAGCAAGGUUACCAGUGGUGAUACCUAUUUGGUUUUUGGCCAUUAUUUUUCCCUUCUUUGGACCCAUUAACUCUGCAGUUGGAUCUCUUCUUGUUAGCUUCACUGUCUACAUCAUUCCUUCAAUAGCUUUUAUGGUCACUUUUAGAAAAGCCUCCGCGAGACAGAGUGCUGUUGAAAAGCCUCCAUUUUUCAUACCAAGCUGGACAGCAAUGUAUAUUAUUAAUACAUUUAUUGUGGCAUGGGUUUUGGUGGUUGGAUUUGGGUUUGGAGGAUGGGCUAGUAUGACAAACAUCAUUGGACAAAUUGACACAUUUGGGCUUUUUGCAAAAUGUUACCAAUGCAACCCUCCAGCACCACCCAUGGUUGUAGCUCCACCUUCUCAUACCCCUCAUCAUUGAAAUUACACCUCACUCACCUCAAAAUCAUACAAGAAUUCAACUCAAGCUACUAUAUAAUAAUCUCUCAUGGGUCCCUCAAUGUUUUGUAACAUGCAUGGAGGGGUUAUAGUAGUAAUACUCAACCCACUGCAUUAGGUGUGUCUGUUGGUUGUGUGUUAUGCAAGUUUUUUCUGUCCAUGUUUUAUUGUUCAGUUUUCUCUUCUUCUACAACCCUUUUAAAAUUAGUUGAUUAAAAAUAAUGUGGGUGAAUGGUUAUGAUUCCUUUGCUAUAAAUGCAUAGGCUAAUAAAUUUCACUUGCUUUGGUAUCUUUCUAUAAUAUUUUACUAGUUAAAAAACUCUUGCUUUUAAAAAAAAAAUUAGAGGUAAAAUAAGUAUUUUAAUUUGUUUAAUCUUACAUUAUUUUUUUAAAAUAGUUGUAUAUGAUUCAAAUUAUUUUUACAAUGAGGAAGACAAUAGGUUUUAAAAUUGCAUUAAAGGAAUCGGAGAAGAAGUAAUAAAUCCAACAGUAUAAUUUGAUCGUUAAAGAUUCUAUUUUAUGGCGCACGAAUUAGAGAGGGUUGGUUAUUGGUCAUUUCAACGUCGAUCACCAGAAACGGAUGUGUGAAAAUAGGAAAUUUCAAACUUUCAUGUGAUUUGGUCACAUGUUAUUGCAAUGGGUUAUACAACAUAUGACAUGACUAUUUUGUUUACAUACCUGAUGUGUAUAAAAUUGCCAAUGUCGUCAGUGUUGUAUAAACUUGUUAAGCUUUAGUCUAGUGCUCAAAGACGAAGAUUCUGACUCUGGUGAUGACAUGUCCCUUAUAGUAAAAAAUUCAAAAUGUUAAUGAUGGGGGAACUUCGAUACUUUCUAGGGCUUCAAAUUCAUCAAACGAAUAAAGUAACAUUCAUCAAUCAAGCUAAAUAAAAAUAGCUAUUAAAGAGGAUUGACAUGGAGACGUCCAAAAUAAUAGCAACUCCACUGCCAACUUCAUGUAACCUCGAUAGGAGAAUGGAAAAACAGUUGAAGAAAACAUAUAUUGAGAUUGGAUAGGAAAAGCACCAAUGGUAUGUGUCACUUAAUUGGGAACACGCCUGUCUCCUAACAUACCAAAAAACAGGCAAGUGUUGCGUUAUCCACGGUUGAGGCACAUUUUCUCAUAUUUUGAACAAAAAAUGAUAGGUCAUAAGAUUAAUACUUUUUUGGAGUAAACGCAUUAUACUCUCAUUAAACCAAAAAUAGUGAAUAUAGCCGAUCUCUAAGAUCCAGGCAACCAAUCCCUAUUCUAUUCAAUUUUGAUCCAUAUUCACUCUUUGGUAGAGUUUCCUAUUAGCAAGGCAUCUACCCAUAAUGUAAGAUUUAAUUCUAUUGACUAACUCUGUAUCUAUUUCUCCACAACAA